GUAGUCUUGGGGGUGUAGCAUGGGGGAUUCGGAGCUAAUAAAAGUUGGGGUCUUCUUUUGUUGGGGGCUUCCAUCUUGUUCCACCUGGUGGCAGGUGGGAGUCCUGUGGCCACAGUCUUCAAUCAAGACCAAGCCGACUGGCUGCUCUUUUGCUCUGCUCUUCCUGGCUGGUCUCCUUGUUUCUGGUCCAAGGGAUCCCUCAGAUUUUGGAAUCCGCUUCUGGCUCCAAUUGUAUCGGCUGCUUUGCUGAGCCUCUUGGCUGUUGUGCAUGGACGGUGCCUGUGUCCACGGUCAUUGUCCUGGCCUUAGUCAGAGGCUGGGGUGGGGAGCUGGGAUUUGGGGGGAGUCGUUUAGCUGCC